GAUGAACGCUGGCGGCGUGCCUAAUACAUGCAAGUCGAGCGAACAGACGAGGAGCUUGCUCCUCUGACGUUAGCGGCGGACGGGUGAGUAACACGUGGAUAACCUACCUAUAAGACUGGGAUAACUUCGGGAAACCGGAGCUAAUACCGGAUAAUAUAUUGAACCGCAUGGUUCAAUAGUGAAAGACGGUUUUGCUGUCACUUAUAGAUGGAUCCGCGCCGCAUUAGCUAGUUGGUAAGGUAACGGCUUACCAAGGCAACGAUGCGUAGCCGACCUGAGAGGGUGGACGGCCACACUGGAACUGGAACACCGGCCAGACUCCUAAGGGAGGGCGCAGUAGGGAAUGUUACGCAAUUGGCGGAAACCUGGCGGAACAACGGCGGGUGAGUGGAGGAGGUCUUCGGAUCGGAAAAAUCUGUUAUUAGGGAAAAACAAAUGUGGAAGUAACCAAGGACGUCUUGACGGUACCUAAUCAAGAAGCCACGGCUAACUACGUG
rnacentral:rRNA from 1 species